GAUGAACGCUGGCGGCGUGCCUAACACAUGCAAGUCGAACGAAGCGUCUUAAAGGAAGUUUUCGGAUGGAACUUGGGAUGACUGAGUGGCGGACGGGUGAGUAACGCGUGGAUAACCUGCCUCAUACAGGGGGAUAACAGUUGGAAACGGCUGCUAAUACCGCAUAAGCGCACAGUACCGCAUGGUACCGUGUGAAAAACUCCGGUGGUAUGAGAUGGACCCGCGUCUGAUUAGCUAGUUGGUGGGGUAACGGCCUACCAAGGCUGCGAUGCAUAGCCGACCUGAGAGGGUGAUCGGCCACACUGGGACUGAGACACGGCCCAG
rnacentral:rRNA from 1 species